CAGAGUUCAUGCCCUUCGGGGUAGAUCUCCCACCCUGUGUAUUAUUACCUUUGUUGCUUUGGCGGGCCGUUAGGCUUCGGCUUGGCUACCGGCUUCGGCUGGUAAGCGCCCGCCAGAGGACCCCAAACUCUAAAUUUUAAUGUCGUCUGAGUACUAUAUAAUAGUUA
rnacentral:misc_RNA from 2 species